GACGUAGGGUGCAAGCGUUAUUCGGAUUUACUGGGUUUAAAGCGUGCGUAGGCGUCUCUUCAAGUCAAUGAUAAAAUUUUGAUGCUUAACGUCAAAGUGUUUAUUGAUACUGUAGAGAUUGAGUUAAUUAAAGGUAGGCAGAAUUUGCAGUGUAGUAGUGAAAUGCGUAGAUAUUGCAAGGAAUUCCGUUAGCGUAGGCAGCUUACUGUAAUUAACUGACGCUGAUAGCACGAAAGGCGGGUAGCAAACAGG
rnacentral:rRNA from 1 species